rnacentral:rRNA from 1 species
ACCUACGGGGGGCAGCAGUGAGGAGUAUUGGUCAAUGGUCGGGAGACUGAACCAGCCAAGCCGCGUGAGGGAUGAAGGUACAGCGUAUCGUAAACCUCUUUUGUCAGGGAACAAAGGCGGGGACGUGUCCCCGGAUGAGUGUACCUGAAGAAAAAGCAUCGGCUAACUCCGUGCCAGCAGCCGCGGUAAUACGGAGGAUGCGAGCGUUAUCCGGAUUUAUUGGGUUUAAAGGGUGCGUAGGCGGUCUGUUAAGUCAGCGGUCAAAGCCCGGGGCUCAACCCCGGCCCGCCGUUGAAACUGGCAGU